UACAGGGGGGGCAAGCGUUGUUCGGAAUUACUGGGCGUAAAGGGCUCGUAGGCGGCCAACUAAGUCACACGUGAAAUCCCCAGGCUUAACCGGGGAACUGCGUCUGAUACUGGAUGGCUCGAGUUUGGGAGAGGGAUGCGGAAUUCCAGGUGUAGCGGUGAAAUGCGUAGAUAUCUGGAGGAACACCGGUGGCGAAGGCGGCAUCCUGGACCAACACUGACGCUGAUGAGCGAAAGCCAGGGGAGCAAACGGG
rnacentral:rRNA from 1 species